CGGGCUCGGCAGCCAGCACCCUGUCGACGUCCCGGGCGGCGAGGUCGAGGCGGCCGAGCGCCUCGAAGCAGCGGGCCCGCUUGAGGAGCGCCUUGGAGUAUUUGGGCGCGGCGUCGAGGGCGAGGUUGCACUCGUUGAUGGCGCGGUAGUGGUCGGGGGGGCUCAUCUGCAUGUAGCAGGCGGCGAGGUUGCUGUGGAGGUAGGCGGCGUCGAGGGCGGCGGAGGCCGGGAGCAGCCUGACGGCCUUCUCGUAGUUGAGGAGGGCGCGCUCGUAGUCCCGGCGCUGGAAGAGCUUGUUCCCCUCCUCCCGCAGUUCCUGCGCCAUCUCCGCGAAGAUGGUCUCGUCCCCGUCGAGCACCUUGGAGCCCGACCG
rnacentral:lncRNA from 1 species